rnacentral:rRNA from 1 species
UACGUAGGGUGCGAGCGUUGUCCGGAAUUACUGGGCGUAAAGAGCUCGUAGGUGGUUUGUCGCGUUGUUCGUGAAAACUCACAGCUCAACUGUGGGCGUGCGGGCGAUACGGGCAGACUGGAGUACUGCAGGGGAGACUGGAAUUCCUGGUGUAGCGGUGGAAUGCGCAGAUAUCAGGAGGAACACCGGUGGCGAAGGCGGGUCUCUGGGCCGAUACUGACGCUGAGGAGCGAAAGCGUGGGUAGCAAACAGG